AGUGAACGCUGGCGGCGUGCUUAACACAUGCAAGUCGAGCGAAUUCUAACAGUGUAUCGUUAGAGUUAGCGGCAGACGGGUGAGUAAUUCUUGGGCAAUCUGCCCUCGAGAGGGAAACAACCUGCCGAAAGGUAGGCUAAUGUUCCAUAAGACCACGGGGUCGCAUGAUCCAGAGGUCAAAGCUCCGCAAGGGGCACUUGAGGAGGAGCCCGAGACCUAUCANGGUAGUUGGUGAGGUAACGGCUCACCAAGCCUUUGACGGGUAGCCGGCCUGAAAGGGUGAUCGGCCACACUGGCACUGAGACACGGGCCAGACUCCUACGGGAGGCAGCAGUGGGGAAUUUUGGACAAUGGGGGCAACCCUGAUCCAGCGACGCCGCGUGGAGGAUGAAGGUCUUCGGAUUGUAAACUCCUUUUGGAGGGGAAGAAUGCCCUGGUGAAGAACCGAGGGUGACGGUACUCUCUGAAUAAGCCACGGCUAACUACGUGCCAGCCGCCGCGGUAAG
rnacentral:rRNA from 1 species